ACGAAAAUAACUGAUGUUACUAAACGUCUACAACAGUUAAAACACAUAGAAUCCGAUUUAGAUAAUACAAAGGAAAAACAAGUACCGGAAAUGCCAACAGUAAAAUAUACCAAAAAGGAGAGAAGUUCAACACAUUUUUCAAUUGAAUACCCUUCAUUCGGGGAUAUAAUUUACCGUAGAAAGAGUACUGAACAAAAAAUCAAAACAGAGAAGAUAGAUACAACAAAAAAUACCAGAUUACGCAGAGAACAAUCAAACGAGAGAAUGUAUACAUAUUUGUACGCAUGUAGCGAUUGUAGGACAGAAAUAGUAACUGAG